rnacentral:misc_RNA from 1 species
GAAAUGCGAUAAGUAAUGUGAAUUGCAGAAUUCAGUGAAUCAUCGAAUCUUUGAACGCACAUUGCGCCCGCCAGUAUUCUGGCGGGCAUGCCUGUUCGAGCGUCAUUUCAACCAUCAAGCCCCCGGCUUGUGUUGGGGACCCGCGGCUGCCCGCAGGCCCUGAAAAACAGUGGCGGGCUCGCUGUCACACCGAGCGUAGUAGCAUACAUUCUCGCUCAGGGCGUGCUGCGGGUUCCGGCCGUUAAACGACCUUCAUAACCCAAGGUUGACCUCGGAUCAGGUAGGAAGACCCGCUGAACUUAAGC